GCAAGUCGAGCGGACAGAAGGGAGCUUGCUCCCGGAUGUUAGCGGCGGACGGGUGAGUAACACGUGGGUAACCUGCCUGUAAGACUGGGAUAACUCCGGGAAACCGGAGCUAAUACCGGAUAGUUCCUUGAACCGCAUGGUUCAAGGAUGAAAGACGGUUUCGGCUGUCACUUGCAGAUGGACCCGCGGCGCAUUAGCUAGUUGGUGGGGUAAUGGCUCACCAAGGCGACGAUGCGUAGCCGACCUGAGAGGGUGAUCGGCCACACUGGGACUGAGACACGGCCCAGACUCCUACGGGAGGCAGCAGUAGGGAAUCUUCCGCAAUGGACGAAAGUCUGACGGAGCAACGCCGCGUGAGUGAUGAAGGUUUUCGGAUCGUAAAGCUCUGUUGUUAGGGAAGAACAAGUGCGAGAGUAACUGCUCGCACCUUGACGGUACCUAACCAGAAAGCCACGGCUAACUACGUGCCAGCAGCCGCGGUAAUACGUAGGUGGCAAGCGUUGUCCGGAAUUAUUGGGCGUAAAGGGCUCGCAGGCGGUUUCUUAAGUCUGAUGUGAAAGCCCCCGGCUCAACCGGGGAGGGUCAUUGGAAACUGGGAAACUUGAGUGCAGAAGAGGAGAGUGGAAUUCCACGUGUAGCGGUGAAAUGCGUAGAGAUGUGGAGGAACACCAGUGGCGAAGGCGACUCUCUGGUCUGUAACUGACGCUGAGGAGCGAAAGCGUGGGGAGCGAACAGGAUUAGAUACCCUGGUAGUCCACGCCGUAAACGAUGAGUGCUAAGUGUUAGGGGGUUUCCGCCCCUUAGUGCUGCAGCUAACGCAUUAAGCACUCCGCCUGGGGAGUACGGUCGCAAGACUGAAACUCAAAGGAAUUGACGGGGGCCCGCACAAGCGGUGGAGCAUGUGGUUUAAUUCGAAGCAACGCGAAGAACCUUACCAGGUCUUGACAUCCUCUGACAACCCUAGAGAUAGGGCUUUCCCUUCGGGGACAGAGUGACAGGUGGUGCAUGGUUGUCGUCACCUCGUGUCGUGAGAUGUUGGGUUAAAUCCCCCAACCAGCGCAACCCUUGAUCUAAUUGCC
rnacentral:rRNA from 1 species